ensembl:lncRNA
CUCAGUUUCAGUAUCCGCAGAAUUAACGGUUGGGAGACUCUUCCGUUUACCUAGCUUUGGUCACGUCUGUAGGUAAGGAAUUAAUUUGUUGCCGAUCCUGCUACUAGGAAGGAGAUUUUUCUCUUCUUCUUGGAAGCUCGUCUGCCCCUAACACCACUAACGGAAGAGAGAUGUGCGGCUAUUCGGGUACCGUAGGACACUGUCCUCCACAGCGUUCUGGGCUAAGGGAUGGAUCGCAGGUAUGCCCCGAAGAGAGGGAGGUGUGUCGUCCUGAGGGUUGGGCCUCGGCCUUCUGCAAGGAUCCGGCUAGCGUUGAUGGGUCCUCAGCUGGGACCAGUGACCAAGGGGAUGUGCCGGGGGUAGAGGUAGGAGGGGGCACGUCCCACGCGCCUUGACCACGAUACGUAUGCGUUUCAGCUGCCCGUCAGCAGCUGACGGUGAGCCUAUCAGUGGCAGUGCACGGUGGACGUCGUUGGGGUGGAGGUAGGCGAGGCUGUGGGCCUAGAGCACGGCACAGGACCGUCUGACAUUCACAGAUCUCGGUGAGUGAUGACGUGUCCUCUCACUCGCUGUUACCGCGUGGGUCAGGAAUGAUGGAGACCUUACAAGUUCCGGCAGCCACGUUCUUCUGGCGUGUGCUCUUCUACACGCAAGUCGUGUUUAAGCUUCUGACUCCUGACUGACUUGCAGACAUCCACCUAAUUCCCACGGCGUGGCGCGUCCCAGUGAUAACCUUGCUUUUUCUGGUUUUCAGGUGGGCGGUCAAGAGAGGAUGGGGGCCGUCACAAUGGCGUAGAUCUGAGAGGGCUGCAGGAGUCCAGGCUCCUGUCUCGAUGUUCUGGUGAGCCUCCUAAUGCUCGUUCAAGGGACGGUGCUUGUAUCCAGGGAAGUGACGGUGGGGGCCUCGAGCACCCUACUGACCCACGGAUCUUCGGAUAGCCGGCGCGGGACCGACCAUGAGAUUCUCGUCGGUGGUCAGUCGGGAGGUGACGGUGUCUGUAACCUCGGUGUUGACCGUGAAGUUCUGCCUGGAGCCAGGGAAUGUGGAUGAUUCCUGCGAGGAGGGAAUGGCGCAAGACAGUUGGCAGGAGCCACGGUCGAGCAAGUUGUUGCCUUCCACGCGUGGGUGGCCUGCGUCCUCUCAGGUUCCUGGGGAGCAACCCCUCUGGACACAAGAAUGGUGGCUAACGGGCUCGUGUUAGUAACCGCGUAAGUGGCACAGAGAGCGAGAGUCCAGUUACGGCCGCCUAACGUUCCGAUGCCAAGGUCAGGGAGGAUGAUGUCCCUAACACGCGUGUUCCCAGCUCUUUGCAGGUCAACUCUGAAGGUUUUGGCUAGGAAACAGGUGUGAGACGGUGUGGCGUGAACUCAGAAAGACAUCCUUUCUUUUCAGAAAUCCCGGUAGUUAGCGAUGCCCUUGAGACCCUUCUUCUGACCGACAGACGGAGGGGCAGACAGCCAGGGAAUCUCUCGUGUUGCCCGUCAGCGCGUUACUGACCCCGGGAUGUUGGCAGGCAUUCCUUCCUGGGGGCCGACCUCGAAGUGUUGCAAGUAUUCAGGUAGCGUUGAUGGGUCCGGAAGUGAUGGAAAUGAGCGAGGGGCAUUGGCGGUUGCCCGUGAGAAUAAGCUUGCACCCGAGACGUCGUCCCCACUGUGUUUCUGAGGUUCCUGGCACGACAUCCGGGCGAACCUAGCAUCGGUCCUUAGCGGAGGAGAUUCUUGGGGUGCAGGUAAGUGAGGACGUGGGCCUAGACCACAGCACGGGCCGUCCGAUCUGCAGAUAGGUGGGUAAGUGAUGAUGGUGUCGCUCACGCUUCCUGUUGCCGUGGAUUUGCUGCGGGCGUCCAGGUAAGACACGAUAGAGUCCUUCUCGGUGCUGGUAAGCGUGACUUUGCCCUUUUUUACCUUUUCGGAGGUCACUUCGGUUUCAGCCUGUGAGUGUUGUGGGUAGGUGGUGUCCCGGCAGUUGUCGCGGAGUUUCCACCCCAGUGGGAGCCAUAGGAAUCUUGCCCGGGUUCCAGUGAAAGGACGGCGGUCCCUCCUGACGAAGAGGAUGCCCUGAAGCAUCCAGGGCAAGCAUCCAGGUUCCCUUCAGGAGAACGCGGUGAAGCUGAGAGUGGUCAUUGACGGAGCCUGCCUCUUGAGCAGGUGUCCUGUUGCGGCCUGCGCUCGUAUCCAGGUGUGAGACGAUGUGACGUUAACGCCUUGAAGCCAUGCUCGCGUGCAGAUAGCGGUGGGCUUCACGUUCGAGCCGUUUAUGUGUCUCUUGGUUUGGGCCUGUAUUCAGGUAAGAAAUUACGCCGGCCUUCAUAACGCGAGUCGGAGUGAGAGUGUGUGUAUUCUCCUUGAGAGGUGAUGUGCCAUCCAGGUCACUUCUGACAGUGCCAUCAUCGCGUUCUGGACCGUAGGCGUUUCUUUCAGGUGUCCCCUCAGGAGAGGAAGGCGUCCCUUCCCGGGGCUUGACCUUGGAGUUCUGCAACUGGCCAGGUUGGCGUCGAGACAUCACGGCGGGCCUAUCGGUGGUCGCGAACGUGGGACAUGGCUGCCACGGAGGUAGGUGAUUGCGUGGGCCUACACCACAGCACGUUCCAUCUGACCCUCGUCUACCCAGGCAAGUGGCGCGUGUCCUCGCACUGGUUGUCCCCGGGAUGUCUCUGAAGGCAUUCGGGUGCGAAACGGUGGAGUCCUUAGCAACUUCAGAGACCCCGAGUUUUCGCUCUCCGUAUGGCUGGGACUGCUCCGUUUGUAACCCUAGGAGCGUCGAGGGAUUCCACGUGUCCAGGUGUUUCUCGCGGCGUGCCCUAGCACACUACGAUGCAUAGGGAUAUUUCCAGGCGCCCAGUCAAGGAAGGGUGCGUGUAUCUGACAUUGGUGUUAACCUUGGGUUCCCGCCCGCAUCCAGGCAGGAUCGAUGUGUCUCGUCACUCGUGACGAGGAAGUGAGCGAGGUUACUUGCAGGGGUCCUGCUCGAGAAAGUUACGUCCUGCCACACAGGCUUCGUGGGGGUCUUGCCGGGUUCCCGGCACGACCUCACGUCGAACCUGCCACGACUCGUCAGUGGCUAGUGUCGAGGCACGUGAUGACGUGGGCCUCAACCGCAGCGCAGACCCUCUGUUCCUCAGAUAGCUAGGGAAGGGCUGCCAGCGUCCCUAACGCUCGUUGUCGCCGUUCAUUCUUUGCAGGUGUUCGGGUAGGAAAGGAUAGUCCUGGCCCAGUCUGGAACCCAUGGCUUUGAGUUUUUACGUUGUUGCGGAAAUGUUGACGUCUCUCUGUGUGUAAUGAGGGAUUGCCCUAUCCAGGUAGUUCUCAAGAUGCUCCUGACCACCGUGGUGACCGAGGAGGCUUUGCAGGUGUCCCCAAAUGAAAUGUCGUACGCGCCCGUGGCCUUGACCCUGGAGAACGGUAAGUAUUCGGGUAGAGUUGACGUGCCCUUAAUGAAGGACGUGUCCGGGGUAAGUUGACGGCGUCCUGCUGCGACAAGUUCUGCUCUUGACGCCACGUGUGGUGAGGAACGUGUUUUUCAGGCUCCUGUCCAGAGGUCUCAGUGAACCUGACCAGGGUGGUCGUUCGGGGGGAAGGUUUCUGGUAUCCAGGGAAGUGAUGGUGGGCGCCUUCGCCACGUCAGACCUGCUGAUUUUCCCGAAUCUAGGGGAGUGAUGUUGAUUGGCUAAACUUGUUGUACCGUGUGAUUGCUUUCAGGCAUUCGGGUCAGCAAGGAUGGUGUUCUAGCAGUCAUGUUAUUGUCCUGUUUUCUGGUUUAGAGCACGUUUCCUUUUCCCCAUGUGACUGUUGAGCAACCCGCAGGUAUCCCCGCAGCGAUGGUGGAGUUGUGUGGCACAGCAGUAACCACGGGGGAUCCUGCCGGCGAGCAGGGAAGAGGUGAUGGUGUUUCUAGCAACGGCGCAGACCUGGGAGGACUGCAAGAAUCCAGGUUUUCGUCAAGAAAUCAUGGGAAACCCCGGAGCGAUCAGUCAGGAGACUUUGCUUGCCUCCAGGUAUUGCGUGAAGAAGCGAUUUCGUCCGCGACAGUGCUGGUACCCAGAGAGGACAUGACGUGUCUCUGACAGCGGCGUUGGCCUAGAAGUGCUGAAGGAUCCAGGUUGCGGUGGGCAGGCAGGCACCGUGAAGCUGACGGUGGUCGUUAACGGGACCUCGAUGGCAAGCAGGAAGGAGAUUUUUCUCUUCUUCUUGGAAGCUCGUCUGCCCCUAACACCACUAACGGAAGAGAGAUGUGCGGCUAUUCGGGUACCGUAGGACACUGUCCUUCACAGCGUUCUGGACUAAGGGAUGGAUCGCAGCUGCCCGUCAGCAGCUGACGGUGAGCCUAUCAGUGGCAGUGCACGGUGGACGUCGUUGGGGUGGAGGUAGGCGAGGCUGUGGGCCUAGAGCACGGCACAGGACCGUCUGACAUUCACAGAUCUCGGUGGGCGGUCAAGAGAGGAUGGGGGCCGUCACAAUGGCGUAGAUCUGAGAGGGCUGCAGGAGUCCAGGUCGGGACGACGGUGUCGCCGUGGUGGCCCCACGGCAGUUGUUCAUGUGGACCUAGACCGCAGCACAGGUCUUCUCAUCUGCAGGUACCUAGGUGAGUGAUGGUGGUGUCCCUACCACUUGUUACCAUGAUUUCUCUGCCAGUGUUCAGGUAGGAAAUGAUCCCUUACUGACCAGUUCUAUAGACUGUGAGUUUUCAUUUUUAUAUUUUAGAAAAAAUUUUUGUUUAUCCCUGUGAGUUUUGAGUAAUUUCACAUAUCCAGGUAAUUAUCAUGAUGUUCCCAGCCACAAUGGUGACCAUGGAAAUUUUGCAGGUGUCCUGUUGAGAAAUGUUAUCUUAACUGAUAGUGGUCCUGACUUGGAGUUCUCCAAGUAGUCAGUAGAAUCGAUGUUCUCAUAAUAAGGAUAGCGAUGAAGGUUAUUUUCAGGUGUCUUGGUAGAACAAGUUGUGUCCUUUUACACAUAUAUUAUGCUUUUCAGGUUCAUGUCCAGAGAUCGUGGUGAACCCUGACAGUGGUUGUUGACAGGAGACGUUAUAGGUAUCCAGGUAAGUGAUGGUGUGCACCUCCCCCACAUCACAGAUCAUCCAGGCUUCACAUACUUAGGGAAGGGAAGUUUGUUUGCCUAAUCUUGUUUACCAGGUGAUUUUUUUAUAGGUCUUCAGGUAAGAAAUGAGUGUUUUACCAAUUCCAGAAGCCAUGUUACCCUACUGUUUUAUAUUUUAGAAAAAAGUCAUGUUUAACCAUGUGAUUGUUGAGUGAUUUGCAGAUAUCCAUGUAAUUGUCAUGAAGCUGUGAGUCACAGUAGUAACCAUGGUUUUCUUGAAGGUGAGCAUUCAAGUGAUGAUAGCGUCUCUAACCAUGGUGUAGACCUUGGAGUACUGCAAGAUUCUGGGUAGAUUGGAUGAGUCCUGCGGUGAUGGUAAUGAAUAAGGUUAUUUUCGGGGUCCAGGUAAUAAAGAUGUGUCCAUAGACACAUUUGUUACAAUGUAUUUUGCAAGUUACUGUUAAGACAUCAUGCUAAACCUCAUAAAGUUCAUUAAAGUGAUUUUGUUUGUAUCCAGAUAAGUGCUGAUGUGGGCUUUUGACAUGCCACCCACCCUCUGAUCUUUAGAUAUCUAGCUAAGUGAUGAUGGUGUUCUAACAUUUGUGUUGCCGUCUUUUCUUGCAGGUAUUCAGGUAAGAAAUGAUAUUGUCCCAGGCAAUGCUAGUAAGCAUUAGCCCAUAUUAUUUUAGAAUUUAAAUAUAAUGUUUGUAUAACCUUAGUAGUAACUGAGGGAUUAUGUAGAUGUCCACAUAAAUUAUCAUUUUGUCCAUCACCUCCUUAUUGACCAUGGCUUUUUUGUAAUUAUUUCAAGACGGGAUUGUAUCUCUAACUAGGGUGUUGGCCUUGAGCUUCUGCAAGUUUCAAGGUAGAGUUGAUGGACCCCGUAAAUUUGAUGAGAUUUUGCCAGGUUUUCAGAUGUCUACCCAAAAGGAGAUGAUGUCUCAAUCCAAGUUCUUGACGCUGGAUUUUUGCAAGUAUCUGGCUUCCAGUUAAGGGAUUUUUGAGAACCUUUGUAUGGUAUCAAAGGUUAAUUUUGCUUGCAUCCAAUUAAAAGAUGAUGAUGUUUGUACCAAAGUUGGAGCUCAUGAGAUUUUGCAGAUAUCCACAUAAGCAAUGAUAGUGUUUGUAAGCCAACAUGGAGAUCAUGUUUAUUUGCAAGUAUUCUUGUACGUUGUGUUGACUAACCACCUUAGUGAUCAGGGGAAUUUUGCAGAUAUGUUGUCACACUUGUGAAGAUGUCUCUAACUAAGGUGUUUUCUUUGGAUAUUUGUAGAUAUCCAGGUAAAAGUUGAUGGUGUCUCUAAUCAAGCUAAUGACCAUGGGAUUUUGCAGUUAUCCAGGCAAGAGAUGCUGUGCCCCUACCGUGAUACUGACCCUGGGCAAUUCUAAGUGUUCAGGUAAGAGAUGGUAUUUGUCUGAUUGCAUUAGUGACCAUGGAGGUCUUUGCUGAUAUGCAGGCAGAAGAUGAUUGUGCCUGUAUCUACAGUACUGACCUUUGAAUUUUGCAUGUAUCCAGGUAAGAGCUAAUCUCUCCCUUACUGUGCUAGUGGCCUUGGGAUAAUUUGGUUGUCCAGGUAAGGAGUGAUGUGUCCUUAACCAUGUUAGUUACCAUGGGAUUUUGCAGGUAUCCAGAUAGGAGAUGAUGGUGGCCCUAACCAUGGUAUUGACCAGGGGAUUCUGCAGGUAUCUAGUUGCAGGUCCUUCUAGUUGUGGCAUGUGGGACGCCGCCUCAGCAUGGCCUGACAAGCAGUGCCAUGUCCGUGCCCAGGAUCCAACCGGCAAAACCCUGGGCCACCGCAGCGGAGCGCACGAACUUAACCACUUGACCACCGGGCUGGCCCGCUUAUAUAGUUCUUAGUUAAAGCAUUGGGGGAAACUGUUGAUAUACAUAUUGUGAAGAAAAACAUUUGUACUCUCACCCUGCUGAUAUGAAUAGGUAUUAGAUGAUAUGUUGGCAAAAUAUGUGAAACAUGAUAUAGAUUAAUGGAGGCCUUGAAUAGCUCUUAUCCAAUUAUUAAUUCAGUUAUUAAAUUAUUAUUUAUAUUAUACCAUUAAAACAGAAAAUGAGAGCUGAAUAAGAACUUGGUGAUCAACUAGUCCAACACCACCAUGAAUGAGAGAGCUCUGAGUGCAGAGAGGUUAAUCAAGGUCAUACAGUUGUCCAGGUCUCGAGUACCCUGUCCAUUAUCCUGUUUUCUUUGUUUGAAAGCCUGAAACCAAUUAAAAAGCAAUAAAGCAAGUGCUCCAGUGCUUGUUUGAAUCAAUAUAUCUCAGGAAAUGCACUUCCAAUUGGCCAGACUCUCCAUCAUGCACUUUGCUUUUCUGCUCUUUUAUUCAGUGUAAAAUUCUCCUUAAGGAAGCCCUGGGUCUCAGUCCUAAACUCCCAGCUAGAGACAUCGCCAAUGAAGGGAAGCAACCUAAUCUGAAUUUCAGCUCAGCUAGCACCAUCGAACGUAUGUCAGACCAAGACCCAUUAAGUAUAAUUCCACAGGAAAAGAGAAGUAAAGGGGUUAAUCUGCAGUAGUAGAUGAGGAUGAUGGCAGAGAAAGAAAAUUAAAGAAAUGAAGAUGAAAAACCUUUUGACAAGAUGCCCUCACCUGGGCCAUACAUAUAGUAGGCACUCAAUAAGUACUUUUUUAAGUAAAUGAGUGCUUCUUGAUAGUUUGGAUGAUAAUGGGUUGGCUCAUUCAACAACCAUUCUUUCUUCUAGUGAGCAAAGGCAAGAAAGCUAAAAACUCCAUUUCCCAGUCUUCUUGCAACACGGGUGUGAGUGGAUUUAGGUCCCACAUCAGAAGUCGCAGUAUUGUAACUUACUGGAACUGAAUCAUGGGUACAAAGGCAGGGAGAGCAUGUCAAUUUUACUGGCCUGGAUUGUGGCAGGGGUUCCAUCCUUCUGGAUUGAUGUGCUUGAGGAGCUUGGAAUUCAUAAAACAGGCAAACCAAAGCUGGAUAUGUAGCUUAGAGUCAAAUAUGCUAUUUAAGGAAAGAUUCUUUCAUUUUUACAGUUUUUUUCCUUUUAGUUUUUGAAAAUUUUACAGACAGUUUUGUCAUGGGGAUAAAAGAGAUUGAAAAAGAAAGAAAAAGCCAACCAUUAUACUACCAGUGAAACAUAACACUUUCAAUUUUCCUCUGAUCUUUAUCAGUCAUUAUCCAUAUUAAUACGUAUUAUGUAGGUACCA